rnacentral:rRNA from 1 species
UCUAUGUUCCUUGGAACAGGACGUCACAGAGGGUGAGAAUCCCGUGCGAUGAGAUGACCCGGGUCUGUGUAAAGUUCCUUCGACGAGUCGAGUUGUUUGGGAAUGCAGCUCUAAGUGGGUGGUAAAUUCCAUCUAAAGCUAAAUAUUGGCGAGAGACCGAUAGCGAACAAGUACAGUGAUGGAAAGAUGAAAAGAACUUUGAAAAGAGAGUGAAAAAGUACGUGAAAUUGUUGAAAGGGAAGGGCUUGAGAUCAGACUUGGUAUUUUGCAUGUUGCUCUCUCGGGGGCGGCCGCUGCGGUUUACCGGGCCAGCAUCGGUUUGGAGCGGCAGGAUAAUGGCGGAGGAAUGUGGCACGGCUUCUGCUGUGUGUUAUAGCCUCUGACGAUACUGCCAGCCUAGACCGAGGACUGCGGUUUUUACCUAGGAUGUUGGCAUAAUGAUCUUAAGUCGCCCGUCUUGAAACACGGACCAAGGAGUCUAACGUCUAUGCGAGUGUUUGGGUGUAAAACCCGUACGCGUAAUGAAAGUGAACGAAGGUGGGGGCCCAUUAGGGUGCACCAUCGACCGAUCCUGAUGUGUUCGGAUGGAUUUGAGUAAGAGCAUAGCUGUUGGGACCCGAAAGAUGGUGAACUAUGCCUGAAUAGGGUGAAGCCAGAGGAAACUCUGGUGGAGGCUCGUAGCGGUUCUGACGUGCAAAUCGAUCGUCGAAUU